rnacentral:rRNA from 1 species
UACGAGGGGGGCAAGCGUUGUUCGGAUUUAUUGGGCGUAAAGGGUGCGUAGGCGGUUUGGCAAGUCUUGUGUGAAAUCUUCGGGCUCAACCCGAAGCCUGCAUAAGAAACUGCCGGGCUUGAGUAUGGGAGAGGUGAGUGGAAUUUCCGGUGUAGCGGUGAAAUGCGUAGAUAAUCGGAAGGAACACCUGUGGCGAAAGCGGCUCACUGGACCAUAACUGACGCUGAUGCACGAAAGCUAGGGGAGCAAACAGG